rnacentral:lncRNA from 1 species
CUGAAGCCUUGUACUGAAUUCAUCUCUGUGCAUGAGUUGGAGUCUCCUGUCUGUGUCUCUUUUUUUGCUCCUUCUUGGUUUAUAUCCAGAAUUUCCUCCCUCGCCUUCCACGGACCAGUCGUUAAUCACAGAGCCUUCCUCGGACUGCGGCUGUUCCGUUUUUAUCCCUGAUCCCCUCGUUACGGGGGCACCUUCCUGAGAACCCGGAGCGGGAUGCAGAGGUGGUUCCUGUUUGUAGGCUGUCGCCAUGACCUCCUUGCCCUCCCACCGAGGGGACCGUGGUGGGGCUCGGCGGGAUCAACCCAAACAGUUCCCUUCGAGGGCAAAACAUCCCCCAGAAAAAGGAGAGGGACCUUUGUGGAAGAACAAUGACUUUCCUGACAGCCGUCGCUCACCCAGUGCCUUCAGAUGUUGGGUAUGAGCAAAGAGGAAGGAAGAUGGAGGUUCGGGCUCAUCACCGCUUGCCGUAGACGGUUAAAUUGGCAUCAUGUAACCAAGCCAAAAAAACAUAUGGAUGAGAUCAUGUCUGGAUCCUUUCAUCGGGAGAUGGAGGAAAGUUGCCUUUUUAUGAACCCAGCUGGACAAAGGAUUGCUGCUCACAAGACUGACGUUCAUUUUGUUGGAGGUUUUGGGGGAACUCCAGAAAUCGUGAAUCUGCACCAGGUGUGGUCGAGGGACCUGGGGCAGAAGGCUCAGCACCCUUCCAAAUGAAAAAUCUUUAUGGGAAUCAUGCCAGGUAAAAGCCUAGUACACGCAAGGUGCUGUGAUGCGGAUAGCGUUUGUCGUUAGCGAAAAACCUGGUCAUCCUUUUCCAUCAUCACUGAUCAUAAUAUUCCAGGUGAGACCAAACUCAUGCAGAAUACAGUGUUACUUCCCACAAUCUGAGUACUAGACUUCUGUCGACACAGCCUGCUGUGACAUCUGCCUUUUCUGCUGCCACCUCACAUCGUUGGCACAGGUUCGCACUUGUCCCUUGAACUUCACGGAGCUGAGCAGCACGGGUUUUGGCUGCAUGUGGUUUUUCCCCCCAUCCAUCCAUCCAUCCAUCCGUCCGUCCGUCCGUCCGUCCGUCCGUCCGUCCGUCCAUCCUGCUAUUUGUCUCGUGGAUGUGGUCCAAGAAAGGUGGGUCUUGAGCUUGCAUGGUGGGUCCACAUGGUGGGGGUCGGAGUGUGCUGGGGCAUGCUGGGAGG